rnacentral:rRNA from 1 species
UACGUAGGGUGCGAGCGUUGUCCGGAAUUAUUGGGCGUAAAGAGCUCGUAGGCGGUGUGUCACGUCGGCCGUGAAAACCUGCAGCUUAACUGUGGGCGUGCGGUCGAUACGGGCAUCACUGGAGUUCGGCAGGGGAGACUGGAAUUCCUGGUGUAGCGGUGAAAUGCGCAGAUAUCAGGAGGAACACCGGUGGCGAAGGCGGGGUCUCUGGGCCGAUACUGACGCUGGAGGAGCGAAAGCCGUGGG